rnacentral:rRNA from 1 species
UGGAGGAAAGUAGGGGAUCGUAAGACCUUGCGCUUAUGGAGCGGCCGAUGCCUGAUUAGCUAGUUGGUGGGGUAAUGGCCUACCAAAGCUUCGAUCAGUAGCUGGUCUGAGAGGACGGCCAGCCACACUGGGACUGAGACACGGCCCAGACUCCUACGGGAGGCAGCAGUGGGGAAUUUUGGACAAUGGGCGCAAGCCUGAUCCAGCCAUGCCGCGUGAGUGAAGAAGGCCUUCGGGUUGUAAAGCUCUUUCAGCCGGGAAGAAAAGGCUACGACUAAUAAUCGCAGUUCAUGACGGUACCGGAAGAAGAAGCACCGGCUAACUACGUGCCAGCAGCCGCGGUAAUACGUAGGGUGCGAGCGUUAAUCGGAAUUACUGGGCGUAAAGGGUGCGCAGGCGGUUUUGUAAGUCAGAUGUGAAAUCCCCGGGCUUA